ensembl:lncRNA
CUUCCUGUUGUAAUGUGCUUUACUCUUGUCACAGUCUGAUAAAUAUUUUAUUUAGAUUUGAAUUCUUGGUUUUAGACAGAAUCUGAAACCAUUCAAAGCAAAUUUAAAUAUACUUUCACACAUACAUUUAAUAUACAGAGUAAAGGUUAAGCGUUUUUGGCGUGCUGUCUGAGGGAAGGGCUCUGAGAUUGGAAUUUAGGCCUGAACCCUGCGUGCCCCUCGGUUUGAGAUAGGAAAAGUUAAUAUUAGUACAAUCUGUAUUGUCUAAAGUGCUUUACAAAUUGUAAUAAUUGAGUUAGAAGUGAGGAGAUGGGGUGGUGGAGGGAUGCUGGAAAACUGUCAAGGAACGGCGAUUCAUUUACAGACAAGACACUAUUCGACACAGGAUUUUCAGAAAGAUUGAAACUAAAAGACGAUGCUGUGCCAACUAUAUUGGAUCCAACAGUAAUGUCACACCAUAUAAUCUUGGAGAUGUUGGAUUAAAACCAAGCCAGAUCCUUCAUUGCCAUACAAAGUUGGCACAAAUAUCGUUCAGUAUUUGGAGGAGUAACAAAGCAAUACCCACAUGUCCUGCAGUUUUAGGAUGAAAUCAAGCCUUUGUUAUUGUAGGAGGAAUGGCACUGAAGCAAGACCAUCUUUACAAGCAGUUAAUAGAUGCUACAUAUUAUUUUACAUUUUGGACACUGAGUAUCCCAAGCCUGUCAACACAUUUUCUCCUAUUUCAACAGUUUGUAAGCAUUGAAAGCAUUAACACAACUCUCUUUAACAAACUGCAUGAUUUGAGGCAUGAUUCAUGUCUGUUACACACUCAGUGAGGAUGAGUAAAGUUUUGUUUAAUUUAAAAAGUAUGAGGCUUAAUAGUGAUUGGUUGUUUUGGCAAGCACUGCAUAUACAAGAAUGAAGCAGUAUGACUGACAGCCACUGUGGCACCAGAUCAGCAGAGUCUGUUCCUGCUGAUGUCAUAAACAGACCUGCUUAUUGCCAGGUGGCAGAGAUGUGCUGAGGUGGUGUGUGGGGAAAUGCUAUUGUGGCAACUAAAAAAUGACUGGAGAGAUUGCACCUGACAAUUUCCUGAACAGAGCAACCAUACUCUCAUAUCUUUGAUUCCAUUCUUUUGUGUUUUCUUAUGACACAUCCUAACUUUGGAGAUGAGAUAAUACUGACUGAAUAACAGGAAAUGAGAAGCAACCUAAAAAAUUAUUAGAAGCAACCUAAAAAUGUCAUAUAAACAUGUUUAUGAGAGAGAAAACUCCUUCAAAGGCUUUCGGAAUGAUACCUUAUUUCUAAGGUCGAUAGCUCAUUACAAUCAAACUCUUUGCCAUUGCAUCAUGUCUUCAUUUCUGAAGCAUCAGCUGUUUUUUCUCCUCAAUGCCCUCUCAUUCACUAUCAUCCUCUUCCACAUAGUCCUCUUUUUACUUUGCGAAUAUUAGCCCAGUGACCUAAAUCUUCCAAUGGAGGGUGAAACUGCCCUAGUGAAAACGUCUGUUUGCCAGCCUGCUAGAUAGUGUUGGUUUGGUUAACAGAUAUGUUGAAUCCAAGCUAACAGCUGUAUUACUGAACUCCAAGCACUCUGUGAAACGAUGUACAGUAUGUGAUACAGAAAUGCAUUGAAAUGUCUUCGGUGUGUAUACGUGUGGGAGAGCUUGCAUGUCUGUGUCAAUGUCUGUUACAAGAUUAGCAUUUGGCUGAGACAAAUUAGUUUGGAAUCCUUUUCUUAUGCCUGACAGUUCAGGAAUAAAUCUGUGCUUGUAAUUUGAGGCUGUUGAUGGUAAUGAAUGUUGAAGUGCGAUCUGCCACGUUUAAAUAUGUAGCAUAAUGUAUUCAGGUCUGUGAAUGGAUGUGAUGAUUCAUGCUAAUUAGCAUUUAGCCGGGUUUGACCUUAGCAUGAAAUCAUAGCUCUCUGGCCUUCACAACUCCAACACUGAUCACUACACAGAGCCACCAUCAGACCAAAACUUCUGCCAUUAUUAUCCUUUAACUAAUGGUCCAGUUGAGGCAAGAAGCAAUGACAAACAAUUGCUGAAAUGUUCUGCGUAGGCCGCUACUUAAAUCAAGCAAAUUUUGUAGUUCUGAAGUAGCAGCUAGACUAGAAGUUCAGUUUGUUUUUAG